rnacentral:rRNA from 1 species
UACGGAAGGUCCGGGCGUUAUCCGGAUUUAUUGGGUUUAAAGGGAGCGCAGGCCGAGAUUAAGCGUGACGUGAAGUGCCGCGGCUCAACCGUGGAAGUGCGUCGCGAACUGGUUUCCUUGAGUGCAUUCGACAUCAGCGGAAUUCGUGGUGUAGCGGUGAAAUGCUUAGAUAUCACGAAGAACUCCGAUUGCGAAGGCAGCUGGCGAGACUGUAACUGACGCUAAAGCUCGAAGGUGCGGGUAUCGGACA